rnacentral:lncRNA from 1 species
GUGUAGGUGACCAUACAUCUCUACCAUGGAUGUACCAAUACAUCUGUUCACACAGACGGAAGGAAUGGGGGGGGGGGGGAGCUGGAUAGUCAGACAGAUCUUCCAUUCACACAGACUGGACAGGAGGGAGGGGGGAGCUGGAUAGUCAGACAGAUCUGUCCAUUCACACAGACUGGACAGGAAGGGGGGGGGGGGGAGCUGGAUAUCGAACAGAGCGUCCAUGUCACAACAGAUGGACAGGAGGGGGGGAGCUGGCUAGUCAGACAGAUGAGGUCCAUUCACACAGACUGACGGAAGGGGGGGAGCUGGAUAGUCAGCGACAGAUCUGUCCAUUCACACAGACUGGACAGGAAGGGAGGGAGCGGGAUAGUCGGACAGAUCUGUCCAUUCACACAGACUGGACAAGAAGGGAGGGAGCUGGAUAGUCAGACAGAUCUGUCCAUUCACAGAAAGGGGGAGGAGGGGAAAGGGG